rnacentral:rRNA from 1 species
AGAUUGAACGCUGGCGGCAUGCCUAACACAUGCAAGUCGAACGGGAGUAGCAAUACUCUAGUGGCGGACGGGUGAGGAAUACGUAGGAAUUUGCCCUUAAGUGGGGGAUAACCCGGGGAAACCCGGAUUAAUACCGCAUGACCUCGAAAGAGCAAAGUGGGGGAUCGCAAGACCUCACGCUUUUGGAGAAGCCUACGUCGGAUUAGCUAGUUGGUGAGGUAAUGGCUCACCAAGGCGACGAUCCGUAACUGGUCUGAGAGGAUGAUCAGUCACACCGGAACUGAGACACGGUCCGGACUCCUACGGGAGGCAGCAGUGGGGAAUAUUGGACAAUGGGCGAAAGCCUGAUCCAGCAAUGCCGCGUGAGUGAUGAAGGCCUUAGGGUUGUAAAGCUCUUUACCCGGGAUGAUAAUGACAGUACCGGGAGAAGUAAAG